rnacentral:rRNA from 1 species
UACGGGGGGGCGAAGCGUUGUUCGGAAUUACUGGGCGUAAAGGGCUUGUAGGUGGCCAACUAAGUCAGACGUGAAAUCCCUCAGCUUAACUGGGGAACUGCGUCGUGAUACUGGAUGGCUUGAGAUUGGGAGAGGGACGCGGAAGUUCCAGGUGUAGCGGUGAAAUGCGUAGAUAUCAGGAGGAACACCGGUGGCGAAGGCGGGUCUCUGGGCCACUACUGACGCUGAGGAGCGAAAGCGUGGGGAGCGAACAGG